ACGGGAAGCGCAGCCUCGGCGGGGCCCGGCCGGCGGCGGGGAGGUCGCGGGGCCGGGAGGCGCGAGAAGUUGGUCAAAUUUUCCAUUCGAAGACGAGUUUUAUGCUGCGGUAGCUUCAAGCAAUAAGUCGAACACUGUGUUGAAAUUAAGUCUUGGAUCCGACUACUUCCAGCGAAGUGAGGAGUUGGUCCAAUAGAAAUUAUUUUCCAAAAUGUGUUGUAAUUCUCCUGUUGCUCCACAAAUAAGGGGUUAUCAGAGAGGAAAACGUUGACUGACUUCGCAUUUCUGAAAGCUGGUUUGUAGUCGCCUUAUUUCAUCCUUACCCUUCUCUGGAAAUGUGACAUUAGUUCUGUUUGUGCUUAAGACAAAGGAAACAGCUGGCACCUUUCGGGAAGGUGGCUCCAGUACAGUUGUUUCCAGGUGUUAAGCUGUAUGAGAAAGUAGAAAAGUAAUCAGAAAUCCUUACUAGUUUUCAUUUAAUCAUUUAAUUAUUAAUUUUAACCAUCAUUAUUUGUCGUCUACUUGUUUUGUGUAAAAUGAGUAAUACACUCAAAGUUCUUGUUAAUAGGAAAUUAUUGUUUGAUAAAGCUGGCUUUAUGGCUUGGUUAUUUUGAUACCUGCUAUGAAAUUCUAUGUCCAGAAGAGUGCAGCAUAUCCAAGCAGGGUAAUAAGUUCAGAAGGACUGAAAAAGAAAACAAAGAUGAUUUUUCUUUAAUGAUGGAAAGGCAAUUUUUAUUUCAAACGAUUAUGCAUUUGUAGGUUGUGCAUAGGCUGAAAGGUUUGAAUCACUGUGAAAUAAUGUUUCUAACAACAUCCUUAAAACUGAGUUACCUCUUGAAUGGAUAGAUAAAUAGGAACUGGGUUAACUACCCCAAACGCUAAUCUCUUUAUGAUCAUCCUUUUUUGGAAUGAUUUAUUAUUUUAAAAAUUAUGUUGUAAGAAUGGAAUUAUAGCCCCGGAAAUAUUUAGAAGCUUUAUUUCAAAUUAAUGUUAUUAAGUAUUCCAGCAAAACAAUAAAUUCCACUUUUAAGUAUAUGUUAAAAUGGUGAUAAAUAAAAGUUAUAACUUAA
rnacentral:lncRNA from 10 species